UACGAAGGGGGCGAGCGUUGUUCGGAAUUACUGGGCGUAAAGGGCGCGUAGGCGGCCGAUCAAGUUAGAUGUGAAAGUCCUGGGCUUAACCUGGGGACUGCAUUUGAUACUGAUUGGCUUGAAUUCGGGAGAGGAUAGCGGAAUUCCCAGUGUAGAGGUGAAAUUCGUAGAUAUUGGGAAGAACACCGGUGGCGAAGGCGGCCAUCUGGACCACAACUGACGCUGAGGCGCGAAAGCGUGGGGAGCAAACAGG
rnacentral:rRNA from 1 species